rnacentral:sRNA from 1 species
GCUGGGUGCUGUGGCCCACACCUGUAAUCCCAGUGGCUCAGGAGGCUGAGAUAGGAGGAUUGUGAGUUCAAACCAGUCUCAGCAAAAGUGAGAUGCUGAGCAACUCAGUGAGACCCAGUCUCUA